rnacentral:rRNA from 1 species
UACGUAGGGGGCGAGCGUUGUCCGGAUUUAUUGGGCGUAAAGAGCGUGUAGGCGGCCAGGUAGGUCUGCUGUGAAAACUCGAGGCUCAACCUCGAGACGUCGGCGGAAACCAUCUGGCUAGAGUCCGGAAGAGGAGAGUGGAAUUCCUGGUGUAGCGGUGAAAUGCGCAGAUAUCAGGAAGAACACCCGUGGCGAAGGCGGCUCUCUGGGACGGUACUGACGCUGAGACGCGACAGCGUGGGGAGCGAACAGG